rnacentral:lncRNA from 1 species
GUGCCCGUCCUCUCCGACGACUCAGUGCCUAUCGGCAUGCUGGGAGGAGACUACUACAGGAAGCUCCUGCGCUACUACAGCAAGAACCGCCCAACCGAGGCUGUCAGGUGCUACGAGCUGCUGGCCCUGCACCUGUCUGUCAUCCCCACUGACCUGCUGGUGCAGCAGGCCGGCCAGCUGGCCCGGCGCCUCUGGGAGGCCUCCCGUAUCCCCCUGCUCUAGGCCAAGGUGGCCGCAGUCUGCCUUUGCAUCCUGUCCUCCAGCCACCCUUGCUUGCCACUGUUCCCCAUGACGAGAGCCUCCUGUCUGCAGUGGCCAUCCUGAGGAUAGGGCAGAGUGCCCAGGGUGGCCCCAGGGCUUCUAAAACCCCACCUAGACCACCCUCCAUGUCAGGUACUGAGCAAGGCCCCAGAUCCUUCUCUCUGGAGGAAGAGGGAAGCCCAGGGGUCCUGUUUGUAAAACAACGGUGGCAACAGCUCCUCUUCCAGAGCUGCCUCUGCCUUUAUCCUGGGAGAUGGGGAGGAAGCCCCAUCUCUGCUGUUCCCUGCGUGGAGGAAGCCCACCCAGCAAGCUCUCUCCUACCCCAGGUAAAAGGUGCUCCUUUGCCUGGGUUUGAAUUCCAGCGCUGCCACUUCCUCUCUGCACCUCCUGGCAAGUUUCUUCUAUUCCCCACGUUUAAAGCGAUGGCACCUCCGUCCCAGGGUGGUGUGAGGAUUACCCAGUGUGGUAGGUGCUCAAUAAAUGUUGGUCAUUGUUAUCACUG